UUGAUAAUCAGUUGAAGAAGGAACAAUGGAAAUUGAUCAAUUGGACUUAAAACAAGAAUCCUACCUGGAGUAGGAUUCCUAUAGUCCUAAUUGGAUUAGGACUGAGAUUCCUACUUGGACUAGGACUGGGAGUCCUACUUAGAGUAGGAUUCCUAUAAUCCUAAUUAGAUUAGGAUUUUGAAUUCAAUUUGGAUUCCUACUUAGAGUAGAAUUCCUAGAAGUCCUAAUUAGAUUAGGACUUUGGAUUCCAAUAAGACUCCUAAUUGGAUUAGGACUAAAAUUAAUUAAAUCCUAAUUGGAUUAAGAUUUCUUAAGUCCUAAUUAAUUAUUAAUCUAAUGAAUCAAGAUGACUCCUAAUUGGGUUAGGAUUGAAGAGUUCAAUUGUGUCAUGGUUCAUUCAAGUUCUAAUUGGAUUAGAACUAGUAUGGAUUAAAUCCGAAAUUGGUUCACCCUUGAACUAAGCCUAAUUAGAUUAGGGCUUAGCCACAUUAGGGCCUCCCAAUCCUCCUUAGAGGAGGAUUAGGGUUAACCAUGAGGGAGAGGCGCAUGCCCCUCCUCCUUUCUCUCCUUGGUGCGGCAUGAAGAGAGGGGCCGGAGCCCCUCUUAGGAAAGUAGUCAGGAGCUCCUAAAUGUUAGGAGCUCCACAUGCUUAUAAAAGGAGUUGUGGGCAGCACCUAGGGAUUAUUGAAACCCUCCUCCUUGUGGCCGUACCCCUCCUCUUUCCUCUUGGUUUCAGCCGCAAGCAAGGUGAGAAGAAAAGAAAGCUUGGCGGCCUCCCCCCUCCUCCUUUGCUUCAUCCGACGCAAGGGAAA
rnacentral:lncRNA from 1 species